UAGCGACUGGCUGUUUCUCUGGAGU
rnacentral:piRNA from 1 species